CGCGUAGGUGGUUCAGUCAGUCAGAUGUGAAAGCCCCGGGCUCAACCUGGGAACUGCACCUGAUACUGCUGAGCUAGAGUACGGUAGAGGGUAGUGGAAUUUCCGGUGUAGCGGUGAAAUGCGUAGAGAUCGGAAGGAACACCAGUGGCGAAGGCGACUACCUGGACCGAUACUGACACUGAGGUGCGAAAGCGUGGGUAGCAAACA
rnacentral:rRNA from 1 species